CAAAAGAGAGGUGCCCUGGUGCAGG
rnacentral:piRNA from 1 species